UCUUUCUCCUCUGCCUUGUUCUUCCUGGACACUGAUUCCGAUCCCAAAUCUUCACCCGAAUCGCAUCAAUCCUUGCCCCUUGCCACGCCUGACUCCUUAUAAGUAAUCUCCACCUCCGAAUCUUCCAAUAUUUUUUUCGAAAAAAUUUGGACCUCCCGUGCCCUAGAACACCAUCCCGAUCUCGUCGGAGUCCGCCGCCGGAGAAACUCCUCCGCCGGUCAAAUUCGUCACGACCAGAAGGGGAGCACUAGAACGAGCGCUAGGACCUCCGCCCGAAGCAGAGCACCGCCGGCGACACUCUCCAGCCCUUCGGCAUCACCAACAGAGGAAGCCCCGUCGCUGUACAACGUCACCUAACCAACCGCCGUACGCCUCCGCAUCCAUCCAUCCACUCACCGCCUCCGGAGACCCGCCGGAGACGCGCCACCAUCGCCGCCUGAGCCGCCGGCGUCGUUCUUCUCCAACUCCGGUGAUGCCGCAACCUGUUUCCUUCGAUUGUCCGGAGUGCGAAGCAGGUCGGAAUUAAUCGUUUGAGUGCUUCAACAGCGUUCAAGGCAAGUUUGCACUUUUGAUUUUGCUCAUCCUAUAUUUCUGCUAUGCAUGUGUGGUUUCAUUGCUAUGAUAAAUGUUUGGCUUGAUAUGUGUAUCUCGUGUUGCCAUGUUUUGUUAUCGAUUGUGUUAUGUGAUGGUGUGAUCAACUUGAUAUGGUAGACGCGGGCAUGUGUCGAGUGAUCCAUGAAAGUGGUGAGUGUUUAUAGCCGUAGGCUCGGGAUUAUUAACCAGGUGAAUGUGUCACUGGCAGAGCGCUCUAUUGUCCCUAGAGAAUGCGCCAUUAACAGAGCGCACUUGAGGCGAGGUAUAGUUUUCGGAAUUUAAAUCAGGUGAAUGCGUCCUUGGCAGAGCGCUCUAUUGUUCCUAGAGAAUGCGCCACUGACAGAGCGCACUUGAGACAUACUUCUGAAGUUCUUGUCAUGUUUAUUUAGAAUCUUUGGGUU